CAAAGAAAUGUGUGCUUUCCCCCCUACAAUAGGAAAAUGUAACUAUUGCUCUUCUUUAGACUAGACAUUUCUAAUUUGUUCCGUCUGUCAGAAGGGGACUAUGAGAGGUUUUGGUGCAAAUUCAUUAUCUCUGGCAACGCAUAACGUAUAGGAGGACCUGAAAAAGACCGUGGCAAUGGAUGAACAAUAGGGCUUCAGUUCAUCAGCAACAAAAGCGUUGGGGAAAUUGGUUGAAUUUCAGAGCACGUCCUCCUCAGCAGAGAGGGCUGGACUAGACCUUGGCCAACCUCCCAAAAAACUUGCAGAGCCUCACACCCAACACCUCACUCUCUUCUCUGGGGCGUAGGGAGCAAAUACCUGACAUGGAAAAAAAAAGUUUUUUUUUUCUUCUUUUUCACACUUCCCCCAACCUCCUCCCCAUCUCCCUCGGAUGGAAGCUUUAUUUAAACUAUUUUAGACUCGACCAAGCAAGAAUAAUUCGGUGGACUUAAACGGCAGCUUUGAACAGUGGUGAAGAGAGGGAUGGUCUUGAAUUUUUGGAGACCCGGGAGAAAUCGGCUUUUCGGGCUUCGGUCGCGUAGGUGGGUCUGACCGUGGGAUCUUUUCCUCUUGCCGGAGAUUUGAAUCGCUACCAGCUAGCUUGGGGAGCAAAUGAAAGGAACCAUAUGAAGCUACAAAGAAAUCUAAAAGGAGAAGACAAAUAACACUCCAAAAGACCGGGGGCAGCAGCACUCCAGCAAGACGGCAUCUUCUUCUCCCCAGCCUUAGAAGCCCUGUGAAACCGAGGACCUUCCCCCUAAAACACACACACACACAAGAUAUUUGCCAGCCAGCUUGCCUCCAUUUGGUAAAAAGCUCUAUACGGUGCAUAAUCCAAAAGGAUCAGGAGCAGAUCCUUGAAUCAGCUUGUCACUUCUUCUAUAAAAUGGGAUUUUUUUUUUCUCCUCCUUACACGGCGCUGGAAAAUGCCGAUGGCUUUACACAUCUCUAUAGAGGGAGGCUAAAGAGUCUUUCGUGAGAAUGAAGCAAUUUACAAUGCAAAUAGAGGCCUGUGAAGGGAUGGAUGCUUCUCACUCUUUAACAGCUUGAUGCACCUUAAUAGCUGGUUUUAUUUUCUGAUGUUAUUAGAUGAAUUGUUGGCUCUCGCUGCCGGAAAUUACUUGCUGAAAGAAAAAAAAGUUCGGGAUAAACUUUGAAGGCAACAGCUCUCUUUUUUUGGAUGUGUCUUAGCUGCACACAUACACACAAACAAAAACCAGGUCACAAUUGCAUAAGAGGAUGAAUCUUUUAAAGCACGGCGGCAAGAACGAUUGGAGGAGACAGCACGCCUGUGGAAAAGAGUCUGGAGCCUGGAUUCUAGCGAGGACAAGGAAAAAAAAAGUCUGGUGAGGGAAGCGAGUUGUUAUCUUUGGUUAUCUAGCUGUAUGAGUGUAUUGGUCUUCAUAAAGCUAGAUAACCGAAAGUAAGAACUCCUUCAAGAUCAUCGUGGAGCGCGGCACAAUGAGAAGCCACUGCAAGAGACAGUAAAACCGGAAAGGUCAGGAAUGCUUUCUCUAUCUCUAACGUUUUAUGGCGAAGGAGGGAGUGGAGAAGAUGGUGACACCCAUUUCCGAAUUAUGAAGUUAUCAGCUGUCUCAAGAGGACUACUUAAAUGCUGCAAACAAGAAACAAUGCUGAGGGUAAACAAUGCAUGUGCAACCUUUGCUGUUCUGAUAAAAAGUUCUGAGUUUAAGGGCUUAUGUAUUUUUUUAGAAAGAUGUGUUUAGAGAUAUGGAGUAUCUGUUUGCAGAAUGACUCGAUGCAGUUAAAUGACUUAUUACCCACCCCCCCGCCCCCCACCCCCAGGAAAAAAAGGUCAAUGUGGAACAAUUUGGACAUUUUGUGAGAAAAUAUUUUAAAAUGUAUUUGGGUUAUAUCUCAAGUGAUAUGAAAUCAGGUGGCUGUUUUUUUUUUUUAAAGUUAACACUGGAGUGUAGGGAAGGUCCAUAAUUUAUGUCUACUAAGAACUCGGUGGAGCUGCAAAAAUGGAAAAAAAAGUGAUGGCUGAUUUUUAUUCUUCUAUUCAAAAUGCAAGGACAGAUGCUUCUGUGUUCCAAGAGGGUUUCCUUGAGGAAGCUACUGAAGCAGAAAGACAUGAUGGAGACGAGAUCGCCUCCCCCCUUGUCAAAGUGUUAAAAAAUGUUCUGUGUCUUACUCUGCGUCUAGCAUUGGAAAUGAAAGUGACAUUUACGCCAAAACCCACGUGUGCGCCUCCUCUCUUUUUGUUUAAGGAUGAUCAGGUCUAUCCGGGAAACAGCUCUGGCAUCCCAAACUGAAAUAAUUAGGACGUAUAUAGACCUGACCAAAAAAAAAAAUGGAAAGGGGGUGGGGAAUCGGAGGGUCUGUCCUGCCUAAUUGAUUCCGCUAAACGGAAUGCAGGAGAUGUGAACGGCUGGACGGCUCCAUUCCCACGCUCGGGGGCAAGUCGUAAUGCCAUGGCCCGGCAGCCUAUGACAGACAGCCCUGUUGGGGGGUGUGGGGUAUGAAAAAAACAUCAAGUGCACCACACCAUACUCAUCUCCAUUGCUUAAGAAAGUAGAGGCAUUUCCCACCCACAGCCAUCUGCAGGCUCCCAAGGGAGAAUACCAACUGUUCUGUGGCUGCUGCAUACUGUCUGUUUCUGUUAAUUCUAUAACCACUGUUUAAUCUGCCCAUAAUUAAGUUUGGGGGUUUUUUUCCCCCUACAGUUGAGAUUUCCAAUAUUUAAGAUAAAGGCAGAGAACCUCCAUAAAACAUUCUAAGAAGUUUGCUUCCUUAUGUGUCACCUGCCUUUCCCUUCUUCUCCCCAGUCCCACCCCCCCGCCUCCCUAUCCAAUCCCUCAUUCUCUCCUUAUCUUCUGCCCACAAACCUCCACCUAUUUCCUCUCCCAAACUCUCAGGCAUCACGUUUUGGUUUGCCACCUAUCUUUUUUUUAAAAAAAUCAAUAUACCUAUUUAUAAGCAUUUAGCAUUAUCAUUAAGAACACUGUGGGUACCUUUUGACCGGAUAUCCUAACAGGUUAUUUCACUGGUCGUAGUAUACCCUGGGACUCGACUUGGGGGGUUUUCCAAACCCACCUGGCAAUGAUUCUACUGAACAUUCCAAAUUUGUUAAAGCAGAUUACAAUCACCGUACAUUCAGAGGAUGUUUUCAAGAUCUGCUUCCAGAAAUUUUAAGCAGCAAAGGACUUUGCAGAGUACUUUGUAAUAUUGGAAGGAAAGCUUCAGUGAAAUAACCUGACUGAACCUUUAUUUAUCCCCAUUGCGUGUAGCGUGCCAUAUCACGUGCCAUAUACCUAUGGGUAUGCAUUUAAAGAUGUAUCUACAAACUGUGUACCUCUACAGCUAGAAACAUGACUCAAAUGGCCCGUGUCUCGCAAAUGGCCUCCACUGCUUGUAAUCCAUUUAGAGUUUCUCUGGCAAAGAAGUAAAUUCUGGUAUACGGUUCAAACAAUUGACAGGACUUGGGAUAUGAGGGCUCUGAACUUUCACUGCUAGUUUCAACCAGAAGUGAGAGAGACUUUAUUUACAUAAAUUCCCACUUUGGCUGCUGUACACGUGCCAAAGUUUUACUACUGUAGUGACCGGUGAGAAGACCCUUGUUUAUUUACAUUUGAAGCACUGUUUGUGCAAACAACCUUUCAUUGUUAAGUGCCUGUGUGCCUUUCAUUUACUUCAUGUCCAGGGGUGCUAUUUACCUAGAGCCAUUGUCUACUACAAUUAACAUUUACAUUACAAAGUGUGUGGUUUUCUUUCUCAAGGAGGUGCAAUUAGGGCAAUAAGAUGUUUGCUGGGGAAACCUAUUGUUUACUGAAAGCACUCAAUGGAGUCAAAUUACUUAAGCUUUUGCUUGCGUCUUGGUCUUUUAUGUAAAUGUGUUAAAUAUAACAUCUAAGGAAAAUAAACAAUAUUAUAAUUAUGUGUUUGCCAUUGUCAUAUCAAACUUGCUUUGUACCAUACUAAUGUUACAUGACUAUCAAUCAAUAAAAUACAUUUCAAUGUU